rnacentral:rRNA from 1 species
CGAUGAUCCUCACUUGUGGGGGGAUUAGUGGCGAACGGGUGAGUAACACGUGAGUAACCUGCCCUUAACUCUGGGAUAAGCCUGGGAAACUGGGUCUAAUACCGGAUAUGACUCCUCAUCGCAUGGUGGGGGGUGGAAAGCUUUUUGUGGUUUUGGAUGGACUCGCGGCCUAUCAGCUUGUUGGUGAGGUAAUGGCUUACCAAGGCGACGACGGGUAGCCGGCCUGAGAGGGUGACCGGCCACACUGGGACUGAGACACGGCCCAGACUCCUACGGGAGGCAGCAGUGGGGAAUAUUGCACAAUGGGCGCAAGCCUGAUGCAGCGACGCCGCGUGAGGGAUGACGGCCUUCGGGUUGUAAACCUCUUUCAGUAGGGAAGAAGCGAAAGUGACGGUACCUGCAGAAGAAGCGCCGGCUAACUACGUGCCAGCAGCCGCGGUAAUACGUAGGGCGCAAGCGUUAUCCGGAAUUAUUGGGCGUAAAGAGCUCGUAGGCGGUUUGUCGCGUCUGCCGUGAAAGUCCGGGGCUCAACUCCGGAUCUGCGGUGGGUACGGGCAGACUAGAGUGAUGUAGGGGAGACUGGAAUUCCUGGUGUAGCGGUGAAAUGCGCAGAUAUCAGGAGGAACACCGAUGGCGAAGGCAGGUCUCUGGGCAUUAACUGACGCUGAGGAGCGAAAGCAUGGGGAGCGAACAGGAUUAGAUACCCUGGUAGUCCAUGCCGUAAACGUUGGGCACUAGGUGUGGGGGACAUUCCACGUUUUCCGCGCCGUAGCUAACGCAUUAAGUGCCCCGCCUG